rnacentral:tRNA from 1 species
GUCCCAUUCGUCUAGUGGCCUAGGACGUGUCCCUCUCAAGGACAAAACACGGAUUCGAAUUCCGUAUGGGGCA